UCUCCCAGAAAAAGACAAGACAAACUCUACAUUAGACCACUGUUAGGAUAUGACAGGAUACCAAACGGAAAGGCGCAUCACAGCACUAGAUGGUUGAAGCCUGUCUAUGCUCUGAGCUCGCCCUCACAGGCGGAUGAUUGAUGAGGCAUGGGGGCAAGGCCGAGCACGCACAGCAUAAAGACCCAUACACGGCUCAAUAAAGCCGGGCCUGAGCGGGGACCGGGCGCGCUCAAUAGACGUUGGCGCGAGUAGAUUGAGGCCAACGGCAGAGAGGAAGGUGCUCUGUUGUCCCAUAAUCCAGUUAGCCAUUGAGCCACCAGCCGUCUGGAGCACGAUACAGAGCAGCGGCGAAGGAUGGCCGAGGAGAGCAGAGGACAGAAAGGUUGGAUAGCCCAGAGGGGGGUUUGGGAGAGAGGCACAGCUCGAAGCCCCUGCUGAGAAAGACAGAGCGGGAGAGUGAAAGAGAGAAA